AAGUGUAUUGCUCAAGUGGUAGAGCACAUGCUUAGCAUGCAGAAGGCCCUGGGUUCAAUCCCCAGUACCUUUC
rnacentral:tRNA from 1 species